rnacentral:rRNA from 1 species
UACGUAGGGGGCUAGCGUUGUCCGGAUUUAUUGGGCGUAAAGAGCGUGUAGGCGGCCAGGUAGGUCUGCUGUGAAAACUCGAGGCUCAACCUCGAGAUGUCGGCGGAAACCAUCUGGCUAGAGUCCGGAAGAGGAGAGUGGAAUUCCCGGUGUAGCGGUGAAAUGCGUAGAUAUCAGGAGGAACACCUGUGGUGUAGACAGCUUGCUGGACCAUCACUGACGCUGAGGCACGAAAGCGUGGGUAGCAAACAGG